UUAGCCCACCAGGUUGUGAGAGGUACUGAACCACAGCCAUGUGUCCUUUGAACUUUAAAUAUUUCCACCUCCGGAGAGUCCCUUCGGGUCUCUGGGAGAGAGGAGCCGUUCUGCCGCCCGUUGUCCGGCAGUGCAGUGUACCCAAGUGUACCAUGAAGACCUCAGUGGCCAUCUUGUCUGCUCUCCUCCUGGCUGUAGCAAUUGUCAGUACUAAUAAAGCAAGAAGCCGUGGGGGCUGCUGUAUGGUCUAUACCAAGGAACCCCAGCUGCGGAAGCUGUCUCUGAAUAACAUUAAGGAACACAGGAUGCAGGAAAUUACAGGGAACUGCAACAUUCCAGCUGUUGUGUUCACCACACAACACAAUCGGAGGAUCUGUGCCAACCCAAAAGCAAAGAGUGUGAAACGAAUCCUUAAACGGCUCAGUCGUGGGAAGAAAAACAAGACACAAGACACAAGGAGAAAACAGUCAAAAGUGAAACAGUGACCUCUCUCAUGCUAAAGGCUUAUCAGACUAAAACACGCUUGACCACAUUCAUGGUGUGUUUCUACAUGUAAUUUCAUUUUAUGAAAAUGUAAACACGGUCACGGUUAACAUAAAACACAAAAUACUGUGGUAACUUUCCUGAAACAUAUAAAAUCCCUCAACUGCAAUGAUUUAAUAACUUUUAAAUUCACCCUUGAACACAUUCAGUUUUGUGGAGACAACACACGAUGCUUUCUUUUUUUUCUCUAAGGUAAUAUUCCACAAGGUAUGUUAUACUUCAAUAAUCAAAGUGUUAUAUUCUUCAUGAACGCUUUAGGACAGAUUUACAGAGCUUUAGGAAAGCCUUACAAGAACCUUGUGUAAAUCAAAGUGUCACCAAAAGUAUUAUUUUAUUGCAUUUUUGCAAUCCACACACUGGUUUGUUUCCAAAAAGAUACAGAAAGACAAAGCAAAAAGGCAGCCUAUUUCAAAUCAUGUUUUCAAAAGAGAUAUAUGACAUGGGGCUUCUGUAGAAAUAGAAAGCUGUUGCAAUUCAAUAUUUUUUUUAAAAUCUUUAUUUAAUCCUUUUGUAUAACAAACAACAUAUGCAGAGGCUGAUAUAUUACACAUGUACUGUGACAGAAGGCAAAGCAAAGCACAGCCAUUUAAACAUUUUUGAUAUCCCCGAAUAAACCAUUUAUGGAAAAAAAUG